GCGAGUGGCGACACUUCCAAGGAGAGCCGCAAGGGAAAGAGGGAGGUCUCCUGAAAAGUGCGGACGAUGAAGGGGGCCACCGUUGCUGAUGCUCAAACCCCCCAGUGGGAAUUAGCAGAGGUACCGAGCUCCCCUCUCCGACCUCAGGAGCAGCCGAUCCUAGAGGUAGAGGUCAUCGCUCCUACUCCUCAGCAAUCGAACUUCCGCCUCCCCCG
rnacentral:misc_RNA from 1 species